rfam:TPA: Bos taurus chromosome 7, whole genome shotgun sequence.
UCCCUGGUGGCUCAGAGGUUAAAGCGUCUGCCUCCAACGUGGGAGACCUGGGUUCGAUCCCUGGGUUGGGAA